CAAAAAGAGUUGGAUGCCCUCAGGUGGGCUCUGGAAAGAUCUGAAGAGGUGGAAGGUUGAACUAAAUGACAUUGAAGGCCUGCCUCUUCCAGCUGCAAGAUUCUCUGCAGACGGGCACUAGACCUGGCUCCCUCAGUGUGGGGGUGCUCUCAGGGCUCCGGGUCUGUAGUGCUCACCUCUCCAGCUACCAUCACUGGAGCUUGGCACUGAAUCCCCUGACUCCCAGCCUCCUUGUCAGGCUCCUCCCUCCUGUCACUGGACAGCACCAUCCAUCCAGCCCUUCAGUGCCCCAGUGUCCUGAGUUGCAUCUCCCACACCCACGGCACACUUAUUUGCAGACCCUCAAUGCUGAAGCAGGUUCCCAUAGAACACGCCCCACCUAGAACACUUCACCCCAUUUGAGGAUCAAAGGGACAGUUGCCUAAUUCAUUGAAAUACAGAACCACCCUUUCCUAUUUGCAGGGCACAUUUACACUUCAGUCUUCCCUACCCCAAAGCAACUGUCCUGACCUUUCCUAAUAGCACUCAAUAUCGCACCCCCACCCUCCACUACUGGUGUUCAUUUCUGCCACCCAUAGUCUUUCACCUGGCCAGUUCUUAGGACUCGUCAUGCCCUGUGAGGACAAGGACACCGUUUGCCUUCAAUACAGCUCAGCACCUGUACAUGCUACGUCCUCAUAAAUGUUGGUUGAAUGACUGUAUGAACUGCAGGCUUCCUGUAUCCAAAUCCAUAGCCCUCCAAAUGAUGCUCCCAGCUUGACUAAGGACAAGACCAUUUUAGAGAAAGGCCUCGACUUCAAGAGUUAUAUGGCACUACCUCUAAAGAGUAGCCACCAGCCACCAAACACUUCCAUCUGUCGAGUGACUUGUACUGCUCCAACUUUUCAGUGAAGAAACCCAUGCUUGGACUGGGGAUGGAACUUGGUGGGAGAGCAUUUGCCUGGUAACCUCCAAGUCUUGGGUUCAGGAUUUAACACCACAAACAAAAAGCUCACCAUGAGGCUGGAGAGACUGGCUCAGCAGUCCAAAGCACUGGCUGCUAUUCCAGAGGACCUGGGUGUAGUUCUCAGCACCCACAUGCCAGUUCACAACUGACUAUUAACUUCAGAUCCAGGGGAUGUGGCAGGGAUAUGGUACACAGGAGCAAGAAAAACAUGCUUAUGCACAAUUUUUAAAAGCCAUCCAGGCUUAACCCUGAGUUGGGAAGUGGCAGAGCAAGAGUUAAGUCCAGGUUCAUUUGACUCAGGUCAGCAUAUUACAGUGGGAAGAAGCCAAAACUGACCAAAUGAGAGAGCCAAAUGUAAGUCUGUAUUCAGUACUGAUGGUGCUGUCAUGGGGAGCCAUGACAGCAUGGGAUGUCUGUGAUGCUCAUGUAGUCAGGCCCACAGCAACUGUCAGGGGACUUGGGACCAGUGUGUAGCAGUUGCAGGGCGUCACCGUUGGCUCGAGACACCAACACUGCGUCUUUGGUCCAGCGAGGAAGCACAUCAGUGCUGGGUGCUGCUGAGACGGGCUUGACCUUGAGGCUCUGUCACAGUUGGAAUAAGAAGCAUCCCUCUAGAUAGGCUCACACAUUAAUGGGCAGGCCCUUUAAAGGGCUGGCCCUCUGCAGGUGGUGGGCUUUUGUUGUUGUUUUGUGGGGUUUGGUUUUGUUAUUAUUGUUGGGUUAUUUUUGAGACAGAGUCUCUGUUAUGUAGCCUUGGCUGUCCUGAAACUCAUCUUGAGACUAGGCUGGUCUCAAACGCAUAGAGAUCCAUCUGUCUCUGCCUCUCAGCGCUGGGACCAAAGGUGUGUGCCACCACACCCAGUGUUGUGGUACUGUUUUGAGAGGUUCUGGAAGCUGCGGGAAGUGGGGCCUGGCUGGGUGACCUAGGCCACUGAGUACCUUUUCUUGGGGGAUAUCCCUUGCCUCUCUCUGUCCCUUGCCCUGCUUCCUGACUGCUCCUCCAGCCCCCACCCCCACCAUCUGCACCUGCCACCAUAGUAUUCUGCCUCACAGCCGGCCCCAGGAGCAUGGCCCGGGACUAAACCCUCAGGAACUGUGAGCCCAAGGAUGUAUUUCCCCGAUCAGACUGGUCUUGUGACAUAUUUUGUCACAAAAAGGGAAGCAGUGAGCACAGGCUUCUACACCCCCUACUUUGGUCCUAGACAUUUUGGACAGAGGAUGCAGCAUCCAUUCCAAUAGAGAAGGUUAUCCCCAUGGUACCUACUCCCAUAUCUCAGUGCCAUAUCUCAGUGGCUUAAAAACACCAAGUUCUAGGGUGGUUUGGUGACUCUCCCAAAAGCCAAAUGCAGUAUCACCAUGUAUCUCUGAAAUCCCAGCGUUAGGUAUAUAUCUAAAAGGACAGAAAGCAAGCUGGGUGUGGAGGCAUACGUCUGUAAUCCCAGUUCUCGGGAGGCAGAGGCAGGAGGAUGGCCAGGUCUACAUGGUGAGGUUUGGGGUAGCUUGAGCUACAUAUGCAGACUCUGUCUCACACAAACAGGGUAAAAAGAGGGAGCUUGUAGAGUUUGUGCAACAACACUUCUAACUAUUUGCAGUAGCCGCAAAUGGGAGCAACCUGAAUGUCCACCUACCAACAGAUGAAUGGAUAACCAUAAUGUCUUACCAUAUAUGCAGUGGCAUAUUACAGAGGCUUGAAAGGGAAGCAACACGGAUGAACCAGUCACAGACACCAAGGUUGCAUGGUUCUAUUUACAUGAGGUGCCUAGAGUAGUCAAAUCUGUGAACAUAAAAUAGAAUCUUAGCUACCUGGGUCUGGAUGGGGAGCAUGGCAGAGUGUUUAACUGCUAGAGCAUCAUCCUGAAAAUGAAUGCUUUCUAGAGAUAGGUCGGUGGGGUAUGAGCUAAUACAGAUAAAAUAGUGACAUUUGUGUUAUGUGCAUUUGACUCCAAUAAAAUAGUAUGAAGUCA
rnacentral:lncRNA from 1 species